rnacentral:rRNA from 1 species
AUUGAACGCUGGCGGCAUGCUUUACACAUGCAAGUCGAACGGGCUUGGGGGCUUGCUCCCAAGUUAGUGGCGAACGGGUGAGUAAUACAUCGGAACGUACCGUGUAGUGGGGGAUAACGUAGCGAAAGUUACGCUAAUACCGCAUACGAUCUACGGAUGAAAGCAGGGGACCUUCGGGCCUUGUGCUAUACGAGCGGCCGAUGUCUGAUUAGCUAGUUGGUGAGGUAAAGGCUCACCAAGGCGACGAUCAGUAGCGGGUCUGAGAGGAUGAUCCGCCACACUGGGACUGAGACACGGCCCAGACUCCUACGGGAGGCAGCAGUGGGGGAAUCUUGCGCAAUGGGCGAAAGCCUGACGCAGCAACGCCGCGUGGGGGAUGAAGGCUCUCGGGUUGUAAACCCCUUUCAGCAGGGACGAAUCAAGACGGUACCUGCAGAAGAAGCCCCGGCUAACUACGUGCCAGCAGCCGCGGUAAU